rnacentral:rRNA from 1 species
CGGAAUCUUCGGAUUUAGUGGCGGACGGGUGAGUAACGCGUGAGAAUCUGCUUCAGGAUGGGGACAACAAUUGGAAACGAUUGCUAAUACCCGAUAUGACGAAAGUUGAAAGAUUUAUCGCCUGGAGAUGAGCUCGCGUCAGAUUAGCUAGAUGGUGUGGUAAAGGCGCACCAUGGCGACGAUCUGUAGCUGGUCUGAGAGGAUGAGCAGCCACACUGGGACUGAGACACGGCCCAGACUCCUACGGGAGGCAGCAGUGGGGAAUUUUCCGCAAUGGGCGCAAGCCUGACGGAGCAAUACCGCGUGAGGGAGGAAGGCUCUUGGGUCGUAAACCUCUUUUCUCAGGGAAGAAUACAAUGACGGUACCUGAGGAAUCAGCAUCGGCUAACUCCGUGCCAGCAGGCGCGGUAAUACGGAGGAUGCAGGCGUUAUCCGGAAUGAUUGGGCGUAAAGCGUCCGUAGGUGGUUAUGUAAGUCUGUGGUUAAAGCGUGGGGCUCAAGCCCAUAAAGGCCAUGGAAACUACAAGACUUGAGUGAAGUAGGGGUAGAGGGAAUUCCCAGUGUAGCGGUGAACUGCGUUAGAGAUCGGGAAGAACACCCGGUGGCGAAAGCGCUCUACUG